UCCCUCUGCCUAAAACAGGAAGGCUCUCAGACUACCAUCCCAUGCUGAGCAGUAAUAAUCAGCCUCGUCCUCAGCCUGGAGCCCAGUGAUGGUCAGGGUGCCUGUGCUGCCAGACUUGGAGCCAGAGAAUCGUUCAGGGACCACCGAGGGUCUGCUAUUAUCCCAAUAGAUUAUGCUUUUGGGGGUUGUGCCUGGGAGUUGUUGGUACCAGCUCACAUAAUUGCUACCAAUGUUGGAACUGCUUCCAGUGCAGGAGAUGGUGACCCUCUGGCCCAAGGAGCCUGACACCGAGGAUGGCUGAGUCAG